rnacentral:sRNA from 1 species
GCUGGGCAUGGUGGUGCACGCCUGUCAUCCCAGCUGCUUAGGAGGCUGAGGCAAGAGGAUCGCGAAAGCCAGCCUCAG